ensembl:snRNA U6 U6 spliceosomal RNA
AUAUGCUGCAGCAGCAUAUAUACAAGUACAAUGGAACAAUACAGAGGUUAGCAGGGCCCCUCUGCAAUGAUGACAUCAAAUUCAUGAAGCAGUCCACAUUUUG